rnacentral:rRNA from 1 species
GAUGAACGCUGGCGGCGUGCCUAAUACAUGCAAGUCGAGCGAACAGAUGAGGAGCUUGCUCCUCUGACGUUAGCGGCGGACGGGUGAGUAACACGUGGAUAACCUACCUAUAAGACUGGGAUAACUUCGGGAAACCGGAGCUAAUACCGGAUAAUAUAUUGAACCGCAUGGUUCAAUAGUGAAAGACGGUUUUGCUGUCACUUAUAGAUGGAUCCGCGCCGCAUUAGCUAGUUGGUAAGGUAACGGCUUACCAAGGCAACGAUGCGUAGCCGACCUGAGAGGGGGAUCGGCCACACUGGAACUGAGACACGGUCCAGGCUCCUAAGGGAGGCAGCAGUAGGGAAUCUUCCGCAGUGGGCGAAAGCCUGACGGAGCAACGCGGCGUGAGUGAUGAAGGUCUUCGGAUCGUAAAACUCUGUUAUUAGUGAAGAACAAAUGUGUAAGUAACUAUGCACGUCUUGACGGUACCUAAUCAGAAAGCCACGGCUAACUACGUG